AAUAGAUACCCGGGUAGUCCACGCCGUAAACGAUGAGUGCUAAGUGUUAGAGGGUUUCCGCCCUUUAGUGCUGCAGCUAACGCAUUAAGCACUCCGCCUGGGGGGUACGGCCGCAAGGCUGAAACUCAAAGGAAUUGACGGGGGCCCGCACAAGCGGUGGAGCAUGUGGUUUAAUUCGAAGCAACGCGAAGAACCUUACCAGGUCUUGACAUCCUCUGCCAACCCUAGAGAUAGGGCGUUCCCCUUCGGGGGACAGAGUGACAGGGGGUGCAUGGUUGUCGUCAGCUCGUGUCGUGAGAUGUUGGGUUAAGUCCCGCAACGAGCGCAACCCUUGAUCUUAGUUGCCAGCAUUCAGUUGGGCACUCUAAGGUGACUGCCGGUGACAAACCGGAGGAAGGUGGGGAUGACGUCAAAUCAUCAUGCCCCUUAUGACCUGGGCUACACACGUGCUACAAUGGAUGGUACAAAGAGCUGCGAACCCGCGAGGGUAAGCGAAUCUCAUAAAGCCAUUCUCAGUUCGGAUUGUAGGCUGCAACG
rnacentral:rRNA from 1 species